GGUCUGUAGAAAAGGAAGAUUAGAAAGACUCAGUGACGCUUGGGGUUGGUAUUGAGGGGACAGGUGGGAGGGAAAGAAGGAAGAUUUGGGAUGAGUUGCACUGGACACAGAGACUAGGAAGGGACUAAUGUGUAAAAGAAUGCCUGGAUGUCAGGCACCGCAGACCAUUUGCCUAUUUUAUGAAAAGAAUUAUUUAGAUUUUGCAGGAUGGAAAAAUUCAAAGUGCCAUUUUCUGGCUAUUUGGCACUACUGUCGAGUUUGUAUUGGGAACACAGGCUAAGGGAGAAGUAGGAGGAAUGGAAGGUGGAAGCUUACCCAUAGUGAAGGAGGCAAGCCCA
rnacentral:lncRNA from 10 species